GGUUCCAUCGUCUAUUGGUUAGGAUAGGGCACUGUCACUGCCCAGAGACGGGUUCGACUCCCGUUGGGACCGCCA
rnacentral:tRNA from 1 species